AACGCACCUUGCGCCCCUUGGUAUUCCGAGGGGCAUGCCUGUUUGAGUGUCAUGUUAAUCUCAACUCCCUUGUUUUCUUGACUCGGGUGUUGGACUUGGAAGCUGCUGGCCCCUCCGCGGUCGGCUCUUCUUAAAUGCAUUAGCUGGGCUUUGGCUCGCGUUGAACGGUGUAAUAGUAAUCUUACAUUCAUCUGGACGCUUGCCUAACAAGUCUGCUUCUAAUCGUCUUCGGACAAGGCCUUUGUUGCCUUCACUUGACACCUUGACCUCAAAUCAGGUAGGAUUACCCGCUGAACUUAA
rnacentral:misc_RNA from 1 species